CAUGGCUCGUCAAGAGUGCGAAGUGACCCGGCCUGGGCGCCCCCUGGCCACCCGCCAGGCCCGCCCCAGCUCCAAAGGGCACUGAGCCGCUGUCCCCAGUCCGCAUCCCGCACCCUGCGGCACCAGGAGAUGGCCUGCUAAGCCCCAACUUGGAGCAUCUGAAUGGAGAUUCUGGUAAUUUUGCUUCCUUUUUAAAAGCGCUUUUAACAUAAGAGAGGAAUGAAGGAAACAUGGACUUGAUAGCUCUUCAGGAUCCUCUGUGGGUAGGUUUCUGUCCCACAUGAACUUAAGAAUUGGAUGCAUUCAGUUGGAGACAUCUGACCUCUGCAGUGAGAAGAUGCUGUGCCUGAGCCGCAGCCUCACGAGCAUCUGGGUGCCGGGCUGCAUUCACGUAUCGUGGAGCCGUUCCAGCCGACCUGCAGACUUGCAGCCUGAAGCUGAGCUAUGCAGCAGACAUGCAGAGGCCUGAAUGGGAUUUGACUGCUUAUUUUUGUCCGUCACUGUGAUUGGGGGAUUGUUACACAGCAAUGCCUAACAGUUACACGUGCGAAUUUCAUUUAUUAAUAUUUUAGAAAAUGUAUUAAGUUAUUGGAAAUAAAACAUGUGUUUAGGCUGGGUUUUAUUGUUUGGGGUAAAAAACGGUGACUAACAUAAUAAUAUGUAUGUACUUGCUUUAUAUGUAUACUUGACUUUCCAAAAUGAUUAUCUGGAAAAGGACAGCAUGCGUCUGUAUAUGUAUAUCUAGGAAUGUAUGACCAAAGAAGCAGACAAAGUAUACAAAGUCACCAUUAUGCUUUGUUAUAUGUAUUAUCUCCUAAUUAGAUGUCUUGAUUAUGGUUUCUUAGCUUUUGUUGGUUUUGCACCAAUUUUCAAUUUCAUAGCCUCUGCCUGAAACUACUGUUCUUAUGUUUUGGGGUUUUUUUUUGAAUAGCAUCAGCAUGUGUGAACAUUUGCUAUAUCCUUUAUCUGUCAAAGAUUUCUGCUAUUAUGUUUGAAGAAAAGGCUUCCAUUUUCCCAUUUCUGUUUAGAGACAUCUUUUGAAGAUGAGCUGGCUCUGAAGCCAGCUUGAUUUUAGAAGGUCAUGCGCAAGAGCAGGAGAGCUGUUCGGGGAGAGUAGAGAGAAUAUGAUAAUCACUAGAAUAAUAAGAACAUCUUAGGAUGUUGGAGUGGGAGGGAAACGAGAUAGUCAGACCUCCUCAUUCUGGACAUGAGGAAAUGAGGUAUUUACCCUGGGUCACAUUGCAAAGUUAAUGGUCAGGCUCUGAGAAAAGUGAAAACAAGGAACAUGAAAUGUAAGAAAAGAGAAAAAAAAGUGCUUCCCCUCAAAGCCAACCCUCCAUCAGAAAUUUGAGAGCAAGCAGUUUGUUUGGGAGAAAACUGCAGAAAGCACUUGUAGGAGAGUCAAAGUGUGGUCCCCAGACCAUCGGCAUCAGCAUCACCUGGGGUUCUGUUAGAAAGGCAGAAUCAUCCUACCCCCAGCUUGCUGAGUCAGAAGCUGCGUAUUAUUACUAUGCCCAAGUCGUAAGCAUAUUAACCUUUGUGAAGAACCUGCCUGAGUUAUUCCUCCCAGCGAAGUGGGAGCUGGGAUUUUUACCCUCCAAUUCCCACCCUUCAGUGCUGAGGGCUGCUUCCCAGCUGAAGUCCUCAGCACUUGUGAUUUCAGGGUGAGAGCAGCUCUGGGCUGAGCGCUGUGCCUCCAUAGGGAGGGAGGAGGCGGUCAGCUUGUUUGGAAGCUGGGAUGGAGAGCGCCAAGGGGCUGCAGGCAAGGUGCCGAGAGCAUGAUACUUUCUGUCCUGAAUGGAUGCCCAGAGACUUCCCAGGGGCAGCUGGGAACUUUUUCUUCUUAUGAGAUGAACCCCAGGCAGAGGGUCUGGUAACAACAUAUUUCAUACAGAGAUGAACUUUAUUAGCUAGCAGUCUCUAUCUCCACCUUUGGUAUAGGUUAGGAACGGUGCCAGCUCAAUGUUUUCAAAGUCAAAUUUAUAGGGAUGUGGUUCAAAGUGUAAGUAUGAAGUUUCUAAACAAAAAAAUUCAGAGUUGGUUUCCAUAUAUUUCAAGUGCCAGCUUAUUGCCUGGAGCACCGUCUUUGCUCCUGGACCCUCUUCUUGGGGUCACACUGACCUUAGGAAAUUGGACUGUCCCAUUUAGCAUCUGAAGCCUCAUGCCAACCUUCCUCCUGUUUGUUCCCGGGCCUUCUGUGUCUGAAGCUCUCAAUCAGACAAGCGUUAGGUGGACAAGCCAGGUGUCACCUGAUGUGGGGAGUGCAAUACUUUAUUUUUUGAACAGAAGCCAUGUGUGUUAAGUCCAGUUUUUUCACUUCACAGGGUUUGCUUGGCCUCACCUUCAGGUGGCGUAGUAGUAAAGAAUCUGCCAGCUAGUACAGGACAGGCAAGAGACACAGGUUCAAUCCCUGGGUCGGGAAGAUCCCCU